CAGACAUUCAGAUCAUGGCAGAACUGUCACAGAUGUUACUUUGUGAAAACACAAAGAAUAAUGUGUUUGGAGAGAUCAGUCUUCAAUUAGCUAUAUUUUCUAGGAGCCUACCUUUACUUAGCCUCACAACAUGGGCCUUAGCUUUAGCACUUAAUCUGCACAAAUACCUGGCUUAAGUGUUAUGACUGACUGGCUAUUCAACCAAACCAUACAAAUGACCAAUUCGGUAAGAAAGCAUGAACUUCAGUGUUGAACCAAAUCAACCAACCUCCUCAAUCCAAAUGGAGAGGAUAACAAAGGAAGCUGAGGAAGUCUGUUCUGGAGGCACCAUGACAAAGCACCAGACAGAAAGCAGUCACGUGUGGGGAGAUGAGCAGAGACACCACUUCUCAAGCACCUGAUUAUUCUUUCUCAGUAUUUAGAAGCAAAAAUUAUCCUUAAGAAAAACAACCGCAAACGCAACACAGGCUACACAGAUGAGAAAAUGGGGCUUGCAGAGCUCAAACCAUUACACCAUUCAGAAGCUGGCUUUGGUAUUACUUCAAGUUAUUCAAAACAGUCACCACUUGCUGAGCCUCUGAUGUCUCAUCUGUUGAAUGGGUACAUUUUCUUCCUGAUCCUUCCACCUCUAAACUUGUCUAUUUCCAAGGAUCUAUGGCAUCCAGGCAUAUGAUUUCAAGAGAGAAGGCUGAAAAGGAAGGUGACUGGAAUAUUAAGAACUGUGAGAUAUUCUGAGGAAACUCUAAUUUGUAAAUUGGUAGAAAUGCCAGUAAUUUGUUGGGAAUUGAAGACCCUCUGUAUUCAAGAGCGAAGCUUGGCAGCUGUGCACUGUUGUUUUAUAAAUCAAUAUUACAUCUGAA
rnacentral:lncRNA from 1 species